rnacentral:rRNA from 1 species
AUUGAACGCUGGCGGCAUGCCUUACACAUGCAAGUCGAACGGCAGCGCGGACUUCGGUCUGGCGGCGAGUGGCGAACGGGUGAGUAAUACAUCGGAACGUACCCUGUUGUGGGGGAUAACUAGUCGAAAGAUUAGCUAAUACCGCAUACGACCUGAGGGUGAAAGUGGGGGACCGGAAACGGCCUCAUGCAGCAGGAACGGCCGAUGUCUGAUUAGCUAGUUGGUGGGGUAAAGGCCCACCAAGGCGACGAUCAGUAGCUGGUCUGAGAGGACGAUCAGCCACACUGGGACUGAGACACGGCCCAGACUCCUACGGGAGGCAGCAGUGGGGAAUUUUGGACAAUGGGGGCAACCCUGAUCCAGCAAUGCCGCGUGUGUGAAGAAGGCCUUCGGGUUGUAGAGCACUUUUGUCCGGAAAGAAAUCGCGCUGGUUAAUACCUGGCGUGGAUGACGGUACCGGAAGAAUAAGCACCGGCUAACUACGUG